UUUUGCUAUGUUCAGUAUACAAGCAAUACAAAUAUGUGACUGGAGCUCUCUGCUGUGUCUGCCUGUGCUGUCUGACACAGAGGCUCCAGCUCUGCUCUAGCUUACAUAAUUCUGAGGAAGCAGUUCUGGUGAAGCUCUCAGUCCCCAUAAAAGCCGGGCUACCGACCUCCCUGCAGGCAUAAGGAAAUGGAUGAGGUUUUGCUGUUGCCCAUGCUGGCCUCAAACUCCUGGGCUCAAGUGAUCUUUCUGCCUUACCGUCCCAAGUGACCAGAACUACAGUGUGUACCACUAAGUACUUCCAGGUGCCCGGCACUGUUUUCGGUUCCAGAAGCCACCUUCCAAUCCCAUGAUCCUCUUCCUUCAGAGAGAAAACAAGAUCAGUAUUUGACAAGACAGGCGGGGCUGUUUGGCAGGUACAUAAAUAAGAACAAUGAAGACGCUUGUAGUCUAAAGGAAGAAAGAGACAAGUGAAGCAAGGAAGAAAGAGAACAUGGUCAG